rnacentral:rRNA from 1 species
CGGACGGGUGAGUAAUGUAUGGGGAUCUGCCUGAUGGCGGGGGAUAACUACUGGAAACGGUAGCUAAUACCGCAUAAUGUCUACGGACCAAAGCGGGGGACCUCCGGGCCUCGCGCCAUCAGAUGAACCCAUAUGGGAUUAGCUAGUAGGUGAGGUAACGGCUUACCUAGGCGACGAUCCCUAGCUGGUCUGAGAGGAUGACCAGCCACACUGGAACUGAGACGCGGUCCAG